rnacentral:misc_RNA from 1 species
GAUCAUCCUCCAGCUUUGCUCCGCCGUCUGCUAGAAACACCAGCAUUCCCAAAUCCCAAUCGCACGAUGGCUUCAGCCGGCGCUUCCAUUCCGAAGAAGGCCAGCGUUGCUGCCGUCGUCGUAUUCUUCCUGCUGAUCCUCGGCAAGGGGAUGCCGGCGGCGGCGGGGGUGGCAAAAUGCGGCUAUUAUUGUCGCGCCAAGUGCAGCUUGGGCUGCGAGGACAGUGCCUCGGCUUGCAUCGCAGGCAACAUCAUGUGCAACGACUAUCCUGAAACAUGUCACAAUUGCAAGGCCUUGGCCAUCGGCGCCUGCUUCGGAGCCUGCUACAGCCGCUGCACCGACGACUGCAUCUGAUCGGCAGGUACUGACGGAUAGAUGGAAACUGUACCUCCGCACUGCACCGUGUGUGUCUGUUUACUGUACAUCCGAGAUCGAAAUGACGUGUAUUUAGUUUUUUUUAAUUUAUUAACCUUCAGAUAUGCUCUGUAAGUCACAUAGGUCCUGUUUGUUUGAGAUUAUUGUUAGUUCAAAAUAAGUUAUAUCAUAUAAUUCGUUUUAGACUCAAUGUAGCUUCUAUAUAUGUCUAUAUUCAUUAUCAUUUGAAUGAAUGUGAACAGAAAAAAAAACUGGG